rnacentral:rRNA from 1 species
CAGCCGCCGCGGUAAUACCGGCGGCCCGAGUGGCGGUCACUAUUAUUGGGCUUAAAGCGUCCGUAGCCGGGUUGGGAAGUCCUCCGGGAAAUCUGGCCGCUUAACGGUCAGAAUGCCGGAGGAUACUCCCAGCCUAGGGAGCGGGGGAGGCCGAGGGGAUUCCCGGGGUAGGGGUGGAAUCCUAUAAUCCCGGGAGGACCACCUGUGGCGAAGGCGCUCGGCUGGAACGCGUCCGACGGUGAGGGACGAAGGCCAGGGGAGCAAACCGGAUUAGAUACCCGGGUAGUCCUGGCGGUAAACGAUGCGGACUUUGUGUCGGACAAGCUAUGAGCUUGUCCGGUGCCGGAGGGAAACCGUUAAGUCCGCCGCCUGGGGAGUACGGCCGCAAGGCUGAAACUUAAAGGAAUUGGCGGG